rnacentral:rRNA from 1 species
GACGAACCGAGCGAACGUUGUUCGGAAUCACUUGGGCUUAAAGGGCGCGUAGGCGGGUGCUCAAGUCCGGGGUGAAAUCCCACAGCUCAAACUGGUGGAAUUCCCGUCGGAUACUGGGGUGUCGUCGAGGGUGGUAGGGGUAGUGGCGGAACUAUCGGUGGAGCGGUGGAAAUGCGUUGAUAUCGAUAGGAACUCCGGUGGCGAAGGCGGCAUACUG